AUCACUUGUCUUUUAAAUGAAGACCCGUAUGAAUGGCAUAACGAGGGCUAAUCUGUCUCCUCCUCCCAGUCGAUGAAAUUGAUCUUCCCGUGCAGAAGCCGGACUUCAACAUAAGACGAGAAGACCCUAUGGAGCUUUAGGUAAUACAGAGCCUGCAUAAACUAAUACACCUUAAAAGGAAUAUAUCCAUCCCCUUCUCUACUUGCCUUUGGUUGGGCGCGACCACGGAGAAACAACAAAACCUCCCUGCAGACAGAGACUACAGUCCUAAACCUAGGCCUACUACUCAGAGAGACAGAAAUUCUGACCAAAACUGAUCCGGAAAAUCCGAUCAACGAACCUAGUUACCCUAGGGAUAUCAGGCAAUC
rnacentral:rRNA from 1 species